UUUUUGUUUUUUGUUUGCAGUUUUUUAUUUAACAAAAAGUUGAAGUACUAGCUAUUCCAAUGUUAUGUUAUUUUUUAUGAAAUUCAACUUCUUAGAAAAUGUCCAAUAAUGUAAAGGUUAACAGCAUUUCCAGUAGGGAAUAUUUGGGGCAUGUGGAGAUACUGUGUCAAAUUCCUUAGGCAGGUGUGUGCAUUGGCUGACCUCUAUUCCAGGUACAAUGAAAGCUCUCCAGGGUGUCAUUUGUACCAUGCCCCAAUUCAGCAUAGGAGUUGGUUUCUUCUACUCUUGAAGACACUUUCACCAUGUCUGUUUGAUUCCAGUGCAUGG